CACAACUGUGAUUUUUUUUCCCAAAAAAACUAGAACGAGUCUCUAAAUUAAUCAACUCGGUCACCCUGCACUGUUUAAAUGUUUAAAUCACUAUAUAACCAUCUCUGAGAUCCAGAUCAUCCAGUUGGAAAGCAAUAUGGAUAUGAUUGUGACACUGCUGGCUCCAGUCUGAUCUGAGCAGACAGGAACACAUUUAACCCAUCCGGUCCGUCUGGUAGAUAGCAGUAAAUCGACCCAAGGAUCGCUUUCAUCCGUGUCUUGAAACUAAGAGCUUGAACAGACUUACUCAGAUAUUGGCACUGUUGGGCAGGAUAUCCCAAAAAUAGGCACAGGACGUUCAUGGGACAGCUCGCCCACAUGUGCGGAGAGCCGAAGACGAACUGGCAGGCUUUGUCUGAUCUCGCUCCUGGCAGUCCUGUGCUGCCUGGCUGUAGCUCUGCCGAUAACUCUGCUUACCUCUCUCUCUCAAUCUGCAGGAGAGUCGAACUACUCCUGUGAGGAGCCCUGGAGGCUGUUCAAGGACAAGUGCUACUUCCUGUCUGAAGACAAAAUGAACUGGAACAGGAGUCGUGACAACUGCACUUCAAUGCACAGCCACCUUGUCGUUAUAGACAGCCAAGAGGAGCAGAACUUCACGAGUGGGGUGCUGCCCCCAAACGACAGGGCCUGGAUCGGCCUGACAGAUCAGGAAGAGAAGGGACGCUGGCGCUGGGUGAACAACAAAGCUUUGCAAGAGAAUCAAAAGUACUGGCAACCUAACCAGCCUGAUAACUUCAAGGGCAAAGAUUCCUUAGAGGCGGAGCACUGUGUAGUGAUGUACAAAGGAACUAAUUUGCAGAAUUGGAAUGAUGCCUACUGCUCUGCCAAUAGGACGAGACUGUGUGAGAGACCUGCAGUGGAUCUGAAUGCCUAGCUGAGCUGAAGGAGUUCAGUGUCUGUCCUGCACAGCAGGAAUAGAGACCUGGGGCUCUUUUCUACUUAUAAGAAUCAGACAUGUACUGUAGCAUCGUCAACUUAACAUCCCAGUUCCUCCUGGAAAUGCAUUCAGAUGUACAUAGAAUGACCUUUCAUGCUGUUACUAAUGGCCAAUAAAAACAAAAAAAACGAAAAA